AACGAACGCUGGCGGCAUGCCUAACACAUGCAAGUCGAACGAAGCCUUCGGGCUUAGUGGCGCACGGGUGCGUAACACGUGGGAAUCUGCCCUUCGGUUCGGAAUAACAGUUAGAAAUGACUGCUAAUACCGGAUGAUGACGAAAGUCCAAAGAUUUAUCGCCGAAGGAUGAGCCCGCGUAGGAUUAGGUAGUUGGUGGGGUAAUGGCCCACCAAGCCGACGAUCCUUAGCUGGUCUGAGAGGAUGAUCAGCCACACUGGAACUGAGACACGGUCCAGACUCCUACGGGAGGCAGCAGUGGGGAAUAUUGCGCAAUGGGCGAAAGCCUGACGCAGCCACGCCGCGUGAGCGAUGAAGGCCUUCGGGUCGUAAGACUCUGUGGGAGGAGAAGAAUAAAGACCUGUGAAGAGCAGGCC
rnacentral:rRNA from 1 species